rnacentral:siRNA from 1 species
AGAUUCGGUGGCCGGCGUCGGCGG